ensembl:lncRNA LRRC8C-DT LRRC8C divergent transcript
ACCUCGCUCCCGGGACUCGCCAGCGAGGGAUGCCGCCGGCCGCCGGGGGCCUUCUCCAGGACCAGGAGAGAAAUCCUCUCUCCGCUUCACGACGCGGCCACUCCCACCCCUGAGACGCCCACCUGGCGGACUCUGAGGGAGGAUUCGGCUGCGUCUAAUACCACCUCCACCCCUCAUCCCUCACAAUGCGCGGAAAACCACAGGCGGCUGUGCGCGCAGCGUCGGCUCAGCCACCGCAGCUCCUCCCCUGGGAUGAAAAAGCACUCUGACGUCUUGAAAGCUGGCAGCUCUCUGUUUGGAAAAUCUCUGCCCAGUGAAAAAAUGUACCGACAAGAUUACUAAGUAACACAGUCUUCUGGGAAUGCCUUAUCAAUGCCAGCUAUUUGAAGAGCACCCAAAGUCAAACUAGUGCUCCGCGCUGGCAGUCUGGAAAAGGCAGAUGUAUAUUUCAGUCAGUAAUGGAUAUUACCACCAGCAUUUAAUCAAGGAAGCAGGAAGUGAUCCAUCACUGCUAGCUGCUAUCUACAGGAAUUCUGUCUACAGGCAGGGCAGACCAGUCAGCCAGUAUCUUCCCGAAGUACCUUGGUCUUCCACCAUCCAUCCCACUGAGAGAGCCGUUCCUCUAAUGAGGCAUUUCUAAGCAGCUGUCCAUUGAACUCUACCCCUUGAGAUAUCCUGAGAAAUAGGAAUCUAUGGUUCCUAUUGUUUGGAAAGUAGUAUAUCUUCCUUGAAGAUUCACAAUGCGUAUUAAUAUGCUUAGGGCUCUGAUAAGUCCUGUAUUAAAAAUGCUUGUUAAACUUUG